AGAGUUUGAUCCUGGCUCAGGAUGAACGCUAGCGGCAGGCCUAAUACAUGCAAGUCGAGGGGUAAGGUCUACUUCGGUAGAUACACGACCGGCGCACGGGUGAGUAACGCGUAUGCAACCUACCUUUAACAGAGGGAUAGCCCCGAGAAAUCGGGAUUAAUACCACAUAACAUCACAGUAUCACAUGAUACCAUGAUUAAAGCUCCGGCGGUUAAAGAUGGGCAUGCGUGACAUUAGCUAGUUGGUGAGGUAACUGCUCACCAAGGCUACGAUGUCUAGGGGUUCUGAGAGGAUGAUCCCCCACACUGGUACUGAGACACGGACCAGACUCCUACGGGAGGCAGCAGUAAGGAAUAUUGCGCAAUGGAGGCAACUCUGACGCAGCCAUGCCGCGUGAAGGAAGAAGGCCUUAUGGGUCGUAAACUUCUUUUAUUUAGGAAUAAUCCCCUGCUCGUGAGCAGGGUUGAAGGUACUAAACGAAUAAGCACCGGCUAACUCCGUGCCAGCAGCCGCGGUAAUACGGAGGGUGCAAGCGUUAUCCGGAUUUAUUGGGUUUAAAGGGUGCGCAGGCGGACCAAUAAGUCAGUGGUGAAAUCCCGGGGCUCAACCCCGGAACUGCCAU
rnacentral:rRNA from 1 species